rnacentral:pre_miRNA from 1 species
CGUGUUCACUGUGUCAGCCUUGGUGAAGUAGUAACAAUUAAGGCACGCGGUGAAUGCCAA